rnacentral:lncRNA from 1 species
AUGACUGUUGUGCUGAGGGUCUUCCUGCUGAGCCCCUGGGGCCUGGCCAGGCCUGUCCACGGCCCCGUUGUCUCUGCAGCCCCUCCCGGGUGCCCGGCGCCUGGCAGGAGGCCAUGUAUGUUCUCUAGAGAGAAGGAUGAGGGGUGUGGGCGUCCUGUCCCAGUGGCUGCAAGUCCGAGGCCACAGUGUUGGUGCGGCAGCUUCCUUCUGCGGCUGAGGGGGACUCCGGCCUGGCCCCCUCCAGCUUCUCAGCUUGGCCGGCGUUGGCUGGUGCCUGGACUCAGGGAAGCGUCACCCUCUCUGAGCCCCUCCCCANGGCAUCUCCCUGUGGGUGUGUCUCCAGCCGUCUGGCUUCACAGGACACCACCCUACUGGACGGGGGCCCAGCCCCUGCAGGGCAGCCUCAGCUUCACCACGUCCAGCCACAGACGCCCUGUUUCCAAACAGCCACACACCUCGGUGCCGGGGGUUCGGUCUUCAAGACGAGUUUAGGGGAACAAGCGCAGCCCCAGCGGGAGGACUAGAGGUGGGGGUGGGGUCUUGGAAAUCCCGGGAAGCCAGUGUCCAGGCCCCGCCUCUCCACAAGGCCCCUUGUCUUUCUUCAGCCCCAGCUCCAUACACCCCACUGCGCGCUGAGUCCUCAGGCCGGGAGCUCACGAGCUCUCAGGACCCAGCCUGCCCCAGAGCCCAUGUGCAGGAAGGAUCGCGGGCCCCUCCUCUGGGUCCCUUUAAAGGCACGACCCUCCUGCCCUGGAGUCCUUCCCUUCCUGGACUCGGGCACGCCAGCUGGCCUCUCCAGAGCCUGGGGGCCUCACGCUCCUGCCUGCUUAGCCGCUGGUCU